rnacentral:rRNA from 1 species
GACGAACGCUGGCGGCGUGCUUAACACAUGCAAGUCGAACGAAGUGGCGAACGGGUGAGUAACGCGUAAACAACCUGCCCUUCAGAGGGGGACAACAGAUGGAAACGACUGCUAAUACCGCAUACUGAAGGCGGGGAUUGCGUCUGAUUAGCUAGGUGGCGGGGUAACGGCCCACCAAGGCGAUGCUCAGUCUCCGGUUUGAGAGGAUGAACGGCCACAGUGGGACGGAGACACGGCCCAGACUCCUACGGGAGGCAGCAGUGGGGAAUCGUCCGAAAUGGACGAAAGUCUGACGGGGCAACGCCGCGUGAGUGAUGACGGCCUUCGGGUUGGAAAGCUCUGUUAAUCGGGACGCGGUACCGGAAUAGAAAGCCACGGCUAACUACGUGCCAGCAGCCGCGGUAAUAC